rnacentral:rRNA from 1 species
CGCAACCCUUGUCCUUAGUUACCAGCACGUUAUGGUGGGCGACUCUAAGGAGACUGCCGGUGACAAACCGGAGGAAAGGUGGGGAUGACGUCAAGUCAUCAUGGCCCUUACGGCCUGGGCUACACACGUGCUACAAUGGUCGGUACAAAGGGUUGCCAAGCCGCGAGGUGGAGCUAAUCCCAUAAAACCGAUCGUAGUCCGGAUCGCAGUCUGCAACUCGACUGCGUGAAGUCGGAAUCGCUAGUAAUCGUGAAUCAGAAUGUCACGGUGAAUACGUUCCCGGGCCUU